rnacentral:rRNA from 1 species
AUUGAACGCUGGCGGCAGGCCUAACACAUGCAAGUCGAGCGAGCGGCGGAUGGGUGAGUAUUGUCUGGGAAACUGCCUGUUGGAGGGGGAUAACUGCUGGAAACGGUAGCUAAUACCGCGUACCAUCAGAUCUGCCCAGAUGGGAUUAGCUGGUAGGUGGGGUAACGGCUCACCAAGGCGACGAUCCCUAGCUGGUCUGAGAGGAUGACCAGCCACACUGGAACUGAGACACGGUCCAGACUCCUACGGGAGGCAGCAGUGGGGAAUAUUGCACAAUGGGCGAAAGCCUGAUCCAGCCAUGCCGCGUGUGUGAAGAAGGCCUUCGGAUUGUAAAGCACUUUAAGCGGGGAGGCGUUACCCGCAGAAGAAGCACCGGCUAACUCCGUGCCAGCAGCCGCGGUAAUAC